UACGUAGGGUGCGAGCGUUAAUCGGAAUUACUGGGCGUAAAGGGUGCGUAGGCGGUUUGAUAAGUCUGAUGUGAAAUCCCCGGGCUUAACCUGGGAACUGCACUUGUGACUGCAAGGCUGGAGUACGGCAGAGGGGGAUGGAAUUCCGCGUGUAGCAGUGAAAUGCGUAGAUAUGCGGAGGAACACCGAUGGCGAAGGCGGCGACCUGGGUCGAGACUGACGCUGAGGCGCGAAAGCGUGGGGAGCAAACAGG
rnacentral:rRNA from 1 species